GAGAGGUGGAGAGGCCGAAGCGACUCCUCGUAGUCAUCUUCGCCCUUGUCUCUUCCGCCUCUCUCUCUCUCUCUCUCUCUCUCUCUCUCUCGAUUUCUUCCGUUGGUGGAUUUAGAUGUAAAUAUGUUGAAUCUUUGGGCGUGGUGAGAAACUUCAUUGGUUUCCCGGCCGACAACGAAAGAGAAGGCUGACCGGCUUCUAGGGUUUCUUGGUUAUUUUCUUGGAUUAUCUUGGGUGAAAAGCAUGAGGACGAGGCCUCGAGAUGACGACAAUGCAUCCAGUUCGAUGUGGCCUAAGCAAUCUAAAGGCCCAUCGUGAGCUCCCUGAUCAUGUUUCACUAUCCCUUACCGUUUUCUUGAAGUUCACCCUUUUCUGUUUAUCUCCACACGUUCUCUUCUUCUAUGCUUCUCAAUGGAAUCUUUCGUUGUUUUGUGUACUGCAGAUGAUCGCUCGCUAUGACAUGCUAUAGAUCGUGUUCUUGCUGUUCUAUAAUUCCAUGUAUUAGUACUUCGAUUUGGGGGCAUAAUUUCAUCUUUAUUGUUUUCUUUAUUGAGUUGAAGGUCCAGUCAUAGUGAUUCUAAGCCAGGAAGGGGUGAUGCCAGAGAGUUCCUGGCUGUAGUCAAAAGGACACUUCACAAUGAAGCACAUACACAUGAUCAAUUCGUUGAUAUCAUGAAGAGUUUAGAGAAUUCAAGAAUCGUUUUUCAGAUGAACCUGACAAGUACUGUUCGAUUUGGACAUCCUGAUAAUCCAUAGGACUAAUUGCAUGUUCAUUGAUGACGUUUAGCAAGAGGUUUUAGGUGUUCUUUUUUUUUUUUUGUAUAAGCUUGAUUGUGCGAGUAUUUAUUUUUGGAUAGAUCUUGACUUGAAGUUUCCAGCUGUCCAUAUUACUUGCCACCAUGAUGAUUUGCUUGAAGUGUUAAAGUCUCUCUUACCUGCUGGACAUGGAGCAGAGUCUAUUCAUCAGACAUCGUCUUGUAGAUCUUUAGGGUACCAGAACGAAGACAAUGAAGAAUGAAAUCCUAGCAAAGCAGAUUUAGAGCUUGAUCUUUCUAAUUGUCAGCAGUGUACCCUUGUUCCUGCUUCCUGCCUGAGAAUUAUCAAAUGCCUCCUGCAAGCAACAGACUUGAGCUGGAUGCAUCGGUACUGAAUAAUGUUGUGGUAUCCAAAACUUCUGGAUGUAAGGAUUCUUCUAAGGACAGGCAAAGAAACAAGUAUGAAAAAAUGGUUUGAGUCAGAUAUGCUAUUAGAGAUUAUUAGUGCAACUACUGGGGUUGAAGGAUUUGCUAGCAAAGCUCGAGGAUGACAAAGAUGAACUAGAAAUCAAUUUCCAAUCGAAGAAUGGAUACAUGGAAACUAUAGGCUGGACGUUGUGGAUCAGCUACAGGAGAACCCCGGUGUGGUAUUGCGUCGCAUAUUAAUUCCUUUGAAGCAGAAGCACAAAGAGUGGGUGAUAUGUAUGAAGACGGUGCAGAAGUGCUCGACUGCAAAAGAUUACAUAUGCAGUAAGGUUAGAAGGAACAAAUGGAAACAUCUACAGGUAACUGGCCUUUUACUGAAGUCUACUAAUUGUCUUGUUCAACAUCUGCUUAGCUUUUGUAAUCUGGUUUUGGUAAAUCCUCCUGUUUCUGGUAGUCUUUUUAACUUCUGCUGACGAGAGAAGUCAGGUCAUUCAAAUAAUACUUCCAUCUAGCCACAAAUUUUUAAGUAAA